GAGGCCCUAUGAUUUGCUCAACUUCGAAUUUGAAAAGCUGUGAUGCGUACGUCGAAGUUUUGGGCCGAAAUUUGUUCGAUGUAAAUAGCCAAGUUUCGGCCCAAUUAUGCUCGUGCAAUUAUUGGGCUCAUGGCCUGCGGCUAAUACCUAGCCUGGACAGGCCCAUGUAGACCACAACAUUUCACUUCGGAAAAGUACACCGAAGGUCCCUCAACUUGUCAUUGAGUUACAAAAUCAUCCUCCAACCGUAAAACCAAAUAUCCAGCAUCUCUUAACUAAUCAAAACCGGUCACAAUAGGUUAUUCGAUGGUUUUAAAUCCGGUUUUAUCCUACGUAGCGGCUGAGUCAGCAUGGAACCCAUAUCGACUUCACAUAUCAUAUCAGUAUGACACGUCAUCUUUCUCUCUGUUUCCCCUCUUUUGUUGUCUCUCUUCCUACUCUCCACUCGAGCCGACUCGUCGAACACCUUGCCUCACAACCACCCCAUGGCCGACCGCGUCCACCCCAUGCCCGCGCCACCGCUGCCGUCCUCGUCUCCUCCGCCGGGACACGACGCCGCCACCGCCGCCGCCGCCACUGGCACCACGCCGCUGCAUCCCAGCUUCCGCGGCGCGCCGCCGCCGUCUCCAAGCACAUACAUCAUCCAAAUCCCCAAGGACCAGGUCCUCCGCGUCCCGCCGCCGGACCGCGCGGCCCGCAAGCCGCCGCCGGCUCCACCACGCGUGCUGUGCCGCCUUCAGCGCGUUCCUCCUCCUGGUCCUCCUCGCCGCCGGCCCGUGGCCCGCGUUCCACCAGGCGCCGAGGAACGUGAUGGUGUUCUCGACGGCGUUGACCGGAGGAGGCGUGAGCUUCACGGAGGAGUAGAGGAAGCGGCUCGAUCGGCGCGGUGCCCCUGAAAAUCUCACUAGCAAGCACAGAUCAAUCUCAUCACUUCUUUCUUCUCUUAGAUGGCCUGGUUGACUGCGAAGGUCCUGCUGCAGAUGGCACCUCUUGAGCAGCCUCAACUGCUUCAGCUUUAGAGCUUCUCAAACUCCUCCUUGUCAUCCUCGCUGAUGGGCCUGCUCUUUCAUUUUCUUCAACCAGUUCAGAUUUGACUCCUCUGCGUCUAGUCCUCAGGUUCGUUAACAUCCUCCCCGCUGCGCUCCUCCCUCACCAGCCGCUGGCCGCGCCGGUCGCACCACCGUGCGUCGCCGCCUCACCCCGACGACAACGCGUGGCCACAGCAAUGGCGCCGCACGGCACGCGGAGGAGGAGGAGGUGAUGAUUUUGUAACUCGAUGACAAGUUGAGGGACCUUCCGUGUACUUUUUCCUUCAUCUUCUCCUCCCUUCUUCUCAGGCUCGGUGUAUAUAUGUACAUCCUGGAACUGAAAGAAUACACCCGUGGAAAUACAGAUUUGAGUAAUCCAA